UAUAAUGCUUUUCAUUUUUGUGAGCUUCAGAAUGUACAUGAAAGAUAUCCUAAGAAUGAUAAUUGUUAAACCCAAUUUAUAUGAGAGUAAUUUGAAUGGACAACAAAGAAGAAGUCUGGAAACACAGUGAUUCGUUUACUUUCUAUGAGGAAAAAUUGAUGGGUUGAGAUAGUGCAAAGGAGGCAAAUCACAAAGAAAGCAACUUCUGUUGUGUUAUCUUUUGAGGAUAGGAAAAACAUAUUCUUUCUAGGUUAUUUUGUUUUGUCUGAUUUUUGUUUUUUUUUUGACAUGUGACAGGAGAUAUAUGUCUUCAUGAUUGACAGAGUUCGGGAUUAGGCAAGUUUCAAAUGCACAAGGCUCCACAUUGCAUCUGAGCUUAAAGAUAUCAUGUCUCUGAUGAUGAAGUCAGAAAUCUUGCUGUUGGUCAGUGGCUCUGCAGGCCGAGAGGACAUAACUAAGGUGUUGACCGUAUAGGAGCUAAACUCCCCAACAGGAGAGUCACAUCCUGCUGACAUACACAACAGACAAGACCUGGGAGACUCGCUAAUCCACUCCAGACAUUGAGGACCGUCUGAGAAUUGAACUGGCUCAAUGCAGACGCAAAGCCACUCUCAGGACUCUGGAGCUACUCCAUCAACAAACAAACACUCUAAAAUCGAGUUCUUAGACCCCAGAGGCCUGAGUGCUAACAGUUCCACUGCAAUGACUCAACUACCACUGAACUCUCUGCCCAUCUCAUUGCCAUGCCAGUGAGGCCCAGGAUUCUGCAGUCACCACAGCCAUCUCUGAUCCAUGAUGGCCCAUGGUCACAUCAGACCAACAGGAAAUUGCUGGCAACAGAUGGCAUCAGUCGAACCCUGCCUUGCAUUGCCUUCAAUCCACCCCCCACUUCUCUCCUUGACAUCAGCAGUGUCUAGCACGUCCCCCCCCCCACCACCACUUCUUUCCUUGACAUCAGCAGUGUCUAGCACGUCCAUCUCCCAGGAAGU